AUAAUACAUUCGUGUAUAACAAUCAUACUAAAGAUGCUGAGCAUCAUGCUUCUCUGUAGGAGAAUGACCAUCAACUAACUAUCAUCCCACAAUAAAAAUAAGAAGCCCUAUCAUACACAAUUCCAAAUGUUCUAUACAACCAGCGACUGCAAACGACACUUUUGGCAACAUCCCAAUGCUCCUGAUCGUAGGGAUAUAUUGCGUAUGGAUGAUUUAUAGCACGAGCAUGAAUCUGGACACUGACAGCAAAGCUCGUACCUUCUUACGAUCAAGCAAAUGCUUACAUGAAGUUAUCUACGAUCAACUUAUUCAACUCCUCCAUUUUCUUAAUUAUUUUAGGGUUCAUCAAGUCUCUGGCUUCUUUUAUAAGAGUGCCUUCUUUACUGGAAUUAUAUGCAUCCAGCACUGUCCCUAUCCAGUUGUAUAGCUGCUCCGGAGUCGUGUAUAAAUUAUCUACAUCUUCCCCUUCAAGUUCUUCUCCAGGUGUGAAGGCAUCUUUCAAAGCGCUCAUUCGCUCCUCAGGAUCCUUAAUCGUGAGUAGAUAUUUCAGAAUUCUGAUUUCUUUUGGCAUGAGCCUCUGAAGAUUUCCUCUUGUUGUCUUAUACAAGUGAUAAAGAACAUCCUUUACCUCAUCUUUUGUCAUGUCCGACUCCUUGGCUGCUGACCAUGCUUUUGUAAUCAUGAGCAUUAGUGCUGAAUCAAGUUGAUUUUUUUGGGCCAUAUCAUCUAUUUUCUUACAAGCUGCAUCCACGGAAGGAGAAUUGAUUAUAUCUUGGAAUUUCAACUCUGCAGCAUUCAACGCUUCCAUACUAGCAGUUGCAGUAUCAUAAGCCUCCACAGCUACCAAACACAUAUUCCCUAGUUUUGCCACAGCAUUUUGUUCCGCUGGAUCAUCAUAAUAGGAUUCUGCCACAGUGUGAAGAUGAGCAAAAAACUCUUUUGUAAAAUCUUUACGACGCCUGGCAACAAUAUCACUAACAUCCGAUGGUGACCUUCUGAUUGCCUCAAGAAGUUCGUUAUGCCUCUGAACAUCAUCAUCAACCUCUCUUAGCUUUCUUUGAAGCUUGAGAAACUUGUGCUUCAUUCCAGGAUCACUUUCACUGUCUGCUCGGUCCUGACAUCGCUUGUAGAAAUGGGGCCGAAUAUUGUUCCAUUCCUUACUAAAUGCUAGCAAUCUUCUCCAUUCAGUAGGUUUGGGUUUGUCAACCAAGAAGACCUCAAUUAACUUGUCGCAUACUCGGAUCAUUUUAUUCUCAUCCAACCCUUCAGAAGCAUCUUUCCUGUCCUCUCCAUUUUCCGCGUCAGUUUCCUGAGUAGUAGCAGAAUCAGAUAAUUUAAUAGUGGACACUUCCUCGUUAAUUGCUCCAUCUGACACAGCAGUUGUAUCACCAAUUACAGCAGCAAAAGAUGACUGUCGCAACCUCACUCCGUUUAUAGAUAAGAGAGAACCUCCGGAAUUAGCUCCGGCGAGGUGCGGCUGGCGCUGUUGAAUUGGACUUCGGAUAAGAGAUAGCGGCGGAAGAAGAGAGAAGUUUCUAGAAGCAGAAGUGGACGGCCGUACAGAAACGGCAUAGCAUGUUGUUAAAGAAG
rnacentral:misc_RNA from 1 species